rnacentral:rRNA from 1 species
UCGGAUGGAUUCUUAUUUACCGCAGUGGCGGACGGGUGAGUAACGCGUGGGUAACCUGCCUCAUACAGGGGGAUAACGAUUGGAAACGAUUGCUAAUACCGCAUAAGCGCACAGUACCACAUGGUACGGUGUGAAAAACUCCGGUGGUAUGAGAUGGACCCGCGUCUGAUUAGCUAGUUGGUGAGGUAACGGCCCACCAAGGCAACGAUCAGUAGCCGACCUGAGAGGGUGACCGGCCACAUUGGGACUGAGACACGGCCCAGACUCCUACGGGAGGCAGCAGUGGGGGAUAUUGCACAAUGGAGGAAACUCUGAUGCAGCGACGCCGCGUGAGUGAAGAAGUAUUUCGGUAUGUAAAGCUCUAUCAGCAGGGAAGAAAAUGACGGUACCUGACUAAGAAGCCCCGGCUAACUACGUGCCAGCAGCCGCGGUAAUAC